AGAGCUGGAACUCUUGGCUAUCGGACUGGGUGGCACCGGGCGCAGGCCGCUGCCCUUGAAGCGCCGGCCUUGGCUGGAGCCCGUGGACCAGCGCCCACCCGGAAGCCGGGGCGGGAGCGGGCGGUUCCAUCGACCCUGAGGGUGGACCAAGGAGACUGAGGGUUCCACGUGUGGCAUCACAAUUACCUCCGCGGCGGCGAGGCCAGACAGGCAUUUCCAAGGAGACGCGGGCGCACUGCCCCUCCCUUGCUUCCUCCUCUUCCCUCCUUCCUCUCCUAGUUUCUUCCCUCCCUUCUCCUUCCCUCCCUUCCCGCCCUACUCCUUUCGGCUGCUCUGGUGCCCACCCCCAGUGCCUCGAGGACGAGGAGAGCUCCUCGGCCCCGCAGGACAGGGAAGAUUCUGUACAGAUGAGCAUAACCUGUGACUGCAAGGAGCCUGAGAAGUGCUGCUGGAAACACAAGCAGUGCACUGGGCACAUCAUCUACCCUUUCGCCUCUGACUGUGUCCGCCACAGCCUGCACCUACACUCUGUCAACCACUGCAACUGUAAUUCUAGCUUUGAAUUGGUGCUGCCAGCCCAGUCCCAGCUCUGCACACCUUGCUCUGCUCUAAGAGAAAUGGGGAGGAGGUCUGUUGGCGGCCUGAGGCAGGCCCAGCAGAAGCCCACUGUCCCUCAGGUUUCUGGCUCUGGGUCCCUGGGGGAGUGAUGGGAGCCAGGCUGAGAGUCCCAUGUGUGGCAGGCUGAAGGACUGUUCAGAGGAUAGCAGCAGCUCGCGGGGCGCGGGCCCAACCUGCUCCCAUGUCAUCGAGUCCCCUUGCUUUGAGCUCACACCGGAGGAGGAGCAUGUGGAGCGAUUCUGGUAUGGCUGGUGCAAAAGCUACAGACCUGUCUCUGUGGCAGUGAUCCACCAUCCCCUCUACCAUGAGUAUGGGGCAGAUGAUCUAAAUGAAGAAGAGGAAGAGGAGGAGGAGGAAAGCAAGCCCCCCAUCCCAACGCAGGU
rnacentral:sRNA from 1 species